GAUGAACGCUGGCGGCGUGCCUAACACAUGCAAGUCGAACGGACUAGAAUGAAACCUAGUGAUUUUUAGUUAGUGGCGGACGGGUGAGUAACGCGUGGGCAACCUGCCUCAUACAGGGGGAUAACACUUAGAAAUAGGUGCUAAUACCGCAUAAGCGCACGGAAUCGCAUGAUUUUGUGUGAAAAACUCCGGUGGUAUGAGAUGGACCCGCGUCUGAUUAGCUAGUUGGUGGGGUAACGGCCUACCAAGGCGACGAUCAGUAGCCGGCCUGAGAGGGUGACCGGCCACAUUGGGACUGAGACACGGCCCAAACUCCUACGGGAGGCAGCAGUGGGGAAUAUUGCACAAUGGGGGAAACCCUGAUGCAGCAACGCCGCGUGAGUGAAGAAGUAUUUCGGUAUGUAAAGCUCUAUCAGCAGGGAAGAAAAAAGACGGUACCUGACUAAGAAGCACCGGCUAAAUACGUG
rnacentral:rRNA from 1 species